rnacentral:lncRNA from 1 species
CCUGACGGUUUAAACGAGUCAAGAAAAAUUAAGUUAAAUGUUUCUACUACUGAUGUACAGGUUGCUUUAAGAUUGGAUAACAUUGACUUUAACAUACGUAGUUUGCUUGAUGAGCAUCAAACAGGUAAGCUUGUUUUGGCAGAAUAUGAUUCUACAGGUGCACUUAUUAAAAGGCGUCAAGAUAUGAUCCACAUUGUUGUUAACUCAAUGGUCCAUAGAGUUGGAAAUAUGUAUCCUUCCACAAAAACCAAAUCUAAUCUUGCAAAAGCAAUUAUCACUGCCUUUCCAAUUUCGCCAAGUUGAAUGAUUUUUUGGCUCAAUGGGAGUUAAUAACGCCACAUGUUAUCUCUUGGGCAAGGCAAAAGACAAAUUUGAUGGACAAGCAGAUUCUUGCUGAGCUUGAUAUGCAAGACAACCCUUCUAUAGAAAUUGAAAUGGAUUUUGCAUUGUUAUUACUCCCCUUUAUAAUUAAAGUACCAUCAAAGAAUAUAAGUUGUGCAUCAGCUGCUGAAGUUGCGGAACAUUUCAUUCAAUUUUAUCCGGCAUCAACUCCGAUGGAAAUUGUGCUUCAAAGUCUUACAAGCAUCCGUUAGUCAUAGCUUUGGGUACUCAUUGCAGUGUCGGUCAAUUAUUUAUUGUUACAGAGUGUCGAGCUAUUCCUGUCAACAGAUGUAUAUCUUAUGCUGUUGACAUCUUAAUUAAACUUUAUUUUUUAAUGAACAUGGAGUAUGCGGGACAAUGUAGCCACAUAUUGUACUUUUUGCAGCAUACCGUGUUAGGUUACCAAGAUGAAAUGCAUCUAUCGAGAGGAGCGAGUGACUUGUCCCUUUACCUUAGACAAAAACUUAAUCAAUUUUAAACGCAGAAACAAUUAUAUUUUGGUUAUUAUUUGCUAUAUGCAUUGUUAUUGCUAUA